rnacentral:rRNA from 1 species
AAGACCUUGCGCUUUUGGAGCGGCCGAUGUCUGAUUAGCUUGUUGGUGAGGUAAAGGCUUACCAAGGCUUCGAUCAGUAGCUGGUCUGAGAGGACGGCCAGCCACACUGGGACUGAGACACGGCCCAGACUCCUACGGGAGGCAGCAGUGGGGAAUUUUGGACAAUGGGCGCAAGCCUGAUCCAGCCAUGCCGCGUGAGUGAAGAAGGCCUUCGGGUUGUAAAGCUCUUUCAGCCGGGAAGAAAAGGUUGCGACUAAUAAUCGCAAUCCAUGACGGUACCGAAAGAAGAAGCACCGGCUAACUACGUGCCAGCAGCCGCGGUAAUACGUAGGGUGCGAGCGUUAAUCGGAAUUACUGGGCGUAAAGGGUGCGCAGGCGGUUUUGUAAGUCAGAUGUGAAAUCCCCGGGCUUAACCUGGGAACU